rnacentral:rRNA from 1 species
CCUACGGGAGGCAGCAGUGGGGAAUAUUGCACAAUGGGGGAAACCCUGAUGCAGCAACGCCGCGUGAGUGAUGACGGCCUUCGGGUUGUAAAGCUCUGUUUUCAGGGACGAUAAUGACGGUACGCGAGGAGGAAGCCACGGCUAAGUACGUGCCAGCAGCCGCGGCAAUACGGCGGUGGCGAGCGUUGUCCGGAUUUACUGGGCGUAAAGGGAGCGUAGGGGGUCUUUUAAGUGAGAUGUGAAAUACUCGGGCUUAAAUUGAGUGCUGCAUUUGAAACUGUAAGUCUAGAGUGGAGGAGAGGGGAAUGGAAUGCCUGGUGUAGCGGUGAAAUGCGUAGAUAUUAGGAAGAACACCAGUGGCGAAGGCGAUGCUCUGGACUGUAACUGACGCUGAGGCACGAAAGCGUGGGGAGCAAACAGGAUUAGAUACCCUGGUAGUC